CUGUGUUUUCUGUGCUUCACGGCAGCACGGAUAGUUUUAUACCGAACCACAGAUCGACACAACUUAUAAGUGACGGUGACUUUUGCAAAGGUCAAGAGGCUUUCCCUCCAAUGAGCUGUAGUCCAGCUCCAAGUGUGAUUCUGCUGCUCUGCCCUGCUCUUUUGCAUUACUGCUGUCGCUGGCUGCUUUGGUUGUCGGCAUGUGCCUGGCCCGCUGCUCGAUGUGAUUCCCCAAAGACUGAUUCUGGAGUUAAGCGGGACCUGAUUCAGCUGCCACUGAAAGGCCAUACUAAAAUUGCCCAAGGAACAUUUGUUUUUUUGUUGUUUAUGUAUUGUUUAUUAUAUAUUUUAACAUUCUGUGUCUAGGAGCUGAUUGUCAGAGCUGUGGUGGUGGAUCCUCUGGGGGUGGUUUCUUUUUGGUUUGAGGUGCAUUGCUUGUUUCAUGAUGUGAGUUUUGUUUAUUUUAGUUUCCCUCCAGUUGUUUCCACUGUUGACCACAACUCUUGGCCCAGCUAUGUUUUACAUGAUUGUGAUUUUAAGACUUACUUUGUAAAAUAAAAAUUGUAAUUCGAGCUGGACUGUCUUGUUGCCUCUCAGUUCACAACCCGGGGUGCCUUGCCCAUCCCAGGUUGUCACAUGUGGCGUUGUUGACAGGAUUUGUUACUGUCUUGAAGCUGAGACCGGUUCAGUGUUUAACUUUUUUUUCUUUUUUUUAAAUUAAAGCAGCAGUGUGGGUUUUGUGUUCUUUUGUGUUUAUUUUUUUAAAGGGCAGAGCAGCAGUGUUCACUCUGAGUAAACUGUUAUAAGUGUCACGAUGGAGGAGGAGCUACAGCAGCUGAGGGAUGUCAUUACUCAGCUGAAAGCAGACAACGAGAGGCUGCGACUGGACUGUGCUUCUACCGCGGGUUCUAGCCCAGUAGCUCCUCUCGCACCACCUGUCGCUCCAGUGACUGAAAGGUUGGUGUUUAUACCACGUGACCGAAAAUGUCCCAUGUUUAGAGGGCGAACAGGAAUAAGUUUGAAUAAAUGGGUGGAGGAGGCACAGGCCUGCAUGAGGGCACGGCAUUUGUUGCCUACAGAACAGGCAUUUUUUUUGUUUGACCACUUGGAUGGUGAAGCACGGGAAGAAAUUAAGUAUCAGCCUAGCCUAGAACGAGGGGACCCCGAUAAGAUAAUUUCUAUUCUCCAGGAGCUUUAUGGAUGUACAGAGUCUUAUG